rnacentral:rRNA from 1 species
GUGCUUAACACAUGCAAGUCGAACGGAAAGGCCCCUUUGGGGGUGCUCGAGUGGCGAACGGGUGAGUAACACGUGGGUGAUCUGCCCUGCACUUUGGGAUAAGCCUGGGAAACUGGGUCUAAUACCGAAUACACCUUGCUGGUCGCAUGGCCUGGUGGGGGAAAGCUUUUGCGGUGUGGGAUGGGCCCGCGGCCUAUCAGCUUGUUGGUGAGGUUAUGGCUUACCAAGGCGACGACGGGUAGCCGGCCUGAGAGGGUGACCGGCCACACUGGGACUGAGAUACGGCCCAGACUCCUACGGGAGGCAGCAGUGGGGAAUAUUGCACAAUGGGCGCAAGCCUGAUGCAGCGACGCCGCGUGGGGGAUGACGGCCUUCGGGUUGUAAACCUCUUUCAGUGCCGACGAAGCGUAAGUGACGGUAGGCACAGAAGAAGGACCGGCCAACUACGUGCCAGCAGCCGCGGUAAUACGUAGGGUCCGAGCGUUGUCCGGAAUUACUGGGCGUAAAGAGCUCGUAGGUGGUUUGUCGCGUUGUUCGUGAAAUC